rnacentral:rRNA from 1 species
AGUGAACGCCGGCGGUAGGCCUAACACAUGCAAGUCGAACGGCAGCACAGGAGAGCUUGCUCUCUGGGUGGCGAGUGGCGGACGGGUGAGGAAUACAUCGGAAUCUACUUUUUCGUGGGGGAUAACGUAGGGAAACUUACGCUAAUACCGCAUACGACCUACGGGUGAAAGCAGGGGACCUUCGGGACUUGAGCGAGUGACAGAGCCGAUGUCGGAUUAGCUAGUUGGCGGGGUAAAGGCCCACCAAGGCGACGCCCCGUAGCUGGUCUGAGAGUAUGAUCAGCCACACUGGAACUGAGACACGGUCCAGACUCCUACGGGAGGCAGCAGUGGGGAAUAUUGGACAAUGGGCGCAAGCCUGAUCCAGCCAUACCGCGUGGGUGAAGAAGGCCUUCGGGUUGUAAAGCCCUUUUGUUGGGAAAGAAAUCCAGCUGGCUAAUACCCGGUUGGGAUGACGGUACCCAAAGAAUAAGCACCGGCUAACUUCGUGCCAGCCGCCGCGGUAA